rnacentral:rRNA from 5 species
UAGGUGAACCUGCGGAAGGAUCAUUAC